rnacentral:rRNA from 1 species
GAGUUUGAUCCUGGCUCAGAUUGAACGCUGGCGGCAUGCCUAACACAUGCAAGUCGAACGGCAGCACGGGCUUCGGCCUGGUGGCGAGUGGCGGACGGGUGAGUAAAGCGUAGGAACCUAUCCUUUUGUGGGGGACAACCCAGGGAAACUUGGGCUAAUACCGCAUAAGUCCUGAGGGAGAAAGCGGGGGAUCUUCGGACCUCGUGCUGAGGGAGGGGCCUACGUCCGAUUAGCUAGUUGGUAGGGUAAAGGCCUACCAAGGCGACGAUCGGUAGCUGGUCUGAGAGGACGAUCAGCCACACUGGGACUGAGACACGGCCCAGACUCCUACGGGAGGCAGCAGUGGGGAAUUUUUCGCAAUGGGGGCAACCCUGACGAAGCAAUGCCGCGUGAAUGAAGAAGGCCUUCGGGUUGUAAAGUUCUUUCGUGGGAGACGAAAAGGCAAGCGCUAAUAUCGUUUGCUGUUGACGUGAACCCAAGAAGAAGCACCGGCUAACUCCGUGCCAGCAGCCGCGGUAAUAC